rnacentral:rRNA from 1 species
UACAGAGGGUGCAAGCGUUGUUCGGAAUUAUUGGGCGUAAAGCGCGCGUAGGCGGCCUUUUAAGUCGGAUGUGAAAGCCCUCGGCUCAACUGGGGAAGUGCACCCGAAACUGAAAGGCUUGAGUACUGAAGAGGGUCGCGGAAUUCCCAGUGUAGAGGUGAAAUUCGUAGAUAUCGGGAGGAACACCAGUGGCGAAGGCGACUACCUGGCCCAUUCUUGACGCUGAGGCGCGAAAGCUAGGGGAGCGAACGGG